UCGAGAUAAUACCUGCCACGAUGUCGUCGGGGACAAGAAUCGGCUCCUCCUGCACCUGAGUGGCAAAAACCCGCCCACUCGGUGCCCUCAAUGCUUCCGGCUGACGCGAAGAAGAUGAACGUCCAGCCGACAUAGCCGGUGGUAACCCCGCCUGCUGUCUCGGGGUAUAAGGAACUGAUGCCGAGGUAGGUGCAGAAGAACCCCAGCUCUGGCAUUCCCACGACAUGUGCCCGGGCUGGCCACACCUGAAGCACUUUCCCUCGCGCUGCGGGCAUACCGGCGGUCGAUGAUCGCCACCGCAAAUGACACAACGGAACGGCCUGCCACUCCUCGACUGCUGUCAGGGAUACCGAGGGGGCUUCUUUGCAUUUGACCGGCCCCCGGCACCGCCCGCCGCCCGCUUCUUCCCCUUGUCCCUUGACUCCGCCAUUGCCUCGCGCUCCUCUCGCACGUGGGCGCUGCCGUGCUCGGCCCACAGGGCUCAAUGAAAGACCUCCGCAAAGGUCGUCAACUUGAGGAUUUGCACCCUCUCGUAGAUCCUCGGCUGGAGUCCUCGUAAGAACCAGUCAGCCCGGUCCCGGUCGUCACGAACAACCUCCGGGACGCAGUCGAUAAGGUGGGAGAACUCCUGCUCGUAAUCUGCCACGGAGCGGUCCCCUCUGUCGCAACUUGCGGAAUUUCUCUUGCAACUUCCGCUUCACCGUAUCGGGGAAGUAAUUGGCAAACACCGUGUAACACACUGGACCUUUGCAAAUUGCAAGGUUCGAGUGUUUGGAUGUAUUUCGAGCUUUUCCACACUUGGUGGAGGGUUGUAGAAUGUUUUCCGACCUAAAAGUUCGAAAACUGGAAUUUUGGAUAAGUCCUGAGAGUUUUUACUCUCGGGGACCGGUCCCUGGAAGGAGAGACCGGUCCCCCAGUGAGCAGUGUUGAGGCAGCCUGAGGCAACCGGUCCCUGGCAGGCGAGACCGGUCCCCGAGCGCGUCUUCGCAGUGAGAGACCGGUCCCGCGCAGGGAGAGACUGGUUCCCGAACGCUGGUUUUUCGGGUUCGCAGCGAGAGACCGGUCCCUGCUGGGGAGAGACCGGUCCCUCUGGGCGAAAACUGCCCAGACCGGGCUGAUGCAAUAUUGGAUUUUUGAGGGGCCUGGUUGGAUUUUGUUACAUUAGAUGGGCUUAUUAGCCAUUUCCUCCUCUCCCCUCUCUCAUUUUCUCAUUCUCAUCCUCUCCCUACACUUCCUAGAGAGAGAAGAAGAAGAAGAAGGAGGAGAAGAAGGAGAGGAGCUAGCUUGAGGGAGCUUGGAGCUCAACCCCAUUCUCUCUUUUCCACCUUUGCAAGGCUUGGAGCUUGCUUGUAGAGCUUGGUGGUGGGCCAAUCUUCAACCCUAGAAGAUUUGGAGCUUGUUUGGAGGCAUCUUGGGAUGUUAGUACUUGGAUUCUACCCUUUGAUCCUUGAUUUGGUAGGUUUUCACCAUUUGGAACCCUAGAAUAGGUAUUAGGGUUGAUUUUUGUGGCUUUUUGAUCUAGGCCUUUUGAGGCUAAAUUGAUUGGUUUAGAACCUUCCUUGGGCUUGGUUUCGAAGGGUUCUAGCUCUCUUUUGGAGCUUUAGAAGAGAUUUCUUCUCUUGAGGUGAAUUUUGGCCUUUUUGCUUCUAGAUUGAUGUUUGAUCUUAUGGUUGGUUGUAAUGCCCUCGUAUCUCUUCGCUGAUCAUUUUUAGGGUAUCUUGAGGCUCGUGGACAACUCCGUUCGUCGGAUCGAAGGAGCACGCGACGGUUCGGUGGGUUUGACCUAGCAUACAAUAUGAGAAAUGCUCAUAUUUGGUGUUAAAUGUUUCGUAAAGUUGAAAUUCUUGCAUUUUCAUGUUAAAUAUAUUUAUUCUGAAUUUUAAAAUGCUUAACAUGCAUAGAUUAUGUGUAGUAAAUUUUGGGACCUCUAUAUAGUAGAGAGCAUGCAUGUGUGGCCUAGCAUUCUAGUUGAGACUUGAAAUUAUAAUCCCUAUUAUGAAAACGAACCUUGCUUUCAUGCAUUCAAACUAUAUACCAGAUGUGACAUUAGGAAUUUUUGGAAGCCUAGAGAGGCUUAGGGACUUAGAUGAUAUGUGAGAUUGGGCCAACGUCAUGAAGAGGCAUUGGGGCCCGUGGCAUAGUGAGCAUUAAUGUUAAUGUCUUAAUUGGAACAUGAUUAGUUGUGGAGCUUAAGUGUCAUAAAGAGGCACUAAGCAAGUGUGUGUUCGGACUUCACAUUAUGACUUUGAACUAGACCUUCGGGAUGCUAGCGACUAUACCAUGUUAGAGACAUGAGGAUUGGGUACUUGAGACAGUGACCUUGCUUGUUUGCCAUUUGUGCUCAUUCGCACAUGCUUGUGAGGGUCGCUCCCCACAAGCCGGUACUCCGGAGUUGGCCUUUGCGACUUUUGUUCGCUCGUGCGGUAUUGAGACGCCUACGGGGUCGAGUAGGACAGACACAUUCCAUGGGUAGGAAUGUCGGGCUACCACAGGCACUUAGGCUGCACAAGCCGGACUACCUUGGGUAGAUCCUUAAUUGGAAAUGAAAAUCGAUACGGUUUGAGAAUGAAUGAUCACUACUAGAUAGGCUUAGUAGAUGGAUUACAUUUACAUGCUUUUGGCAUAGUGUGAGACAUGUAUACUUGGUUGCCAUGAUAGAACUUCUACAUCAUGCAUUGACAAAGGUUAACAACAUUAAACUAGUGCCAUUGGACUUAAUUGUAAUGAUAGAUAGAUGUACAUUUUGGUCGACAUCAUGCUUACUUGAGACACAGUAGACUAGCAUUUCAAUUAUGCUUUCUUUCAGCAGUUUAUUUACAUGCUCCUUAUUGCUUAUUAUUAUUAUCGUUGCUUACCCUUAUUUUUGGGGCCUAGUGGAGCAUGAGCUGAGGUCAGUAAUUGCCCACUGGGAACUAUAAAUUAUAGUUCUCACGCCCUCUUUCUCUCGAUGUUUUUCAGAGCCUUCCACGCAGGGAGAGGCCAGGGAUCGCGGAAAGGGUAUCGCCUCGGGCUAGCGUGCUUACCGAGGGAUCGUUCGAUAGGUGGUCUACCUCUCGUGUUUUCUUUUUGUGAGAGGUUGAGAGUUGUACCCGUAUAUGUAUAGAGACCGCCAUUUUUGUACUAGAAGCAGAUAUUGUACUACGUAUGUUUCACUUUUAUGGUUUAGUUAUGCUCUUUUCCUAUUGUUAUAGAAGAUAGAAUCAUGCUGCUCUGAUAUCACUAGUUGUUGCUCAUUCGUUUCUAUUACUCCUCGCUUUUACUUCCGCUUUUACUCUAGACGCCUUAUAUGUGUAGACAUAUAGCGGGUCUGGACACGCUACCGGGAGGGCCUCGGCCGGUCCCGGGGCGUGACACACCGCCCUCCGGAACUCCCCCCACAUCAUAGGCGAAAGAUCGGGCGAUCGAUCCCGCCUAACACGCUUCCACCACACCUUCGCCGCCUUCUUGAGGCAAUGUGUGGCAAGGUACACCUUAUCCCUAUCCAAGGUGUUAAGAUCCUCAAAGAGUGUCUCCAUGGAGUCGAUCCAUGACUCCACGAUCGCCGGCUCCACCACUCCACCUUCGAAGGUAGGUGGGUUAAACUUCUGAAACUGAAUGAGAGCUGCCAAUGUGCGCUCCCGCUCCGCCUCCUCCGCCGCACUAUCGGGAUUUGAAGUCCUCGAUCCCGCCGGCACCAUCGUAACUGGCACGGCCGCUGCGGCCCCACCCUCGGCCGCACUCGGCACCACAGCAGGAGGCGCAGGGUGCACGGCCUCCCCGGGUGCCGCCGCCGCCGCCGCCUGUUGCCGCUCCAAAGCCUCCUGGAGCCUCUGGAUCUGCUCCCCUUGGCGCUGAACGGACUCCGCCUGCUGCCGCACUACGCCAAUAAGCGCGGCCAUUUGCUCCCGAAGCUCCCCGUCGCCACCUGCUCUGGGUUGCACGGGAGCCGCAUUUGGCUCCUCGGCCAUAGACCUCGUCCGCGGUCGACCACGAGGCAACUUAGGUCGUCCACGAGGCGGCAUCACUUCCUGAAAUGAAGCAAUUCACGUUAGUUACUCAGACAAUAUACUCGAUUAAACCCAAUCCGGCGAAAGCAUACCAGUGCAUUUAUUUUCCUUCCAAAGCAUCAUGUCGUCGGCCGCCGAUCACAACACAAAGGAAAGAAAACAAAUAACAACUUUAAGUUAGCCUCUAACCACAUUAGAGACUUAUUAGCAUUAACCGAAUCAUAAGCUUUCGCUAUAAUUGUUCAUCGUCACUCACGUUUCCUAGAUCCUUAAGGUCUUUCCAUUCCUAAGGGUCUCUAGGUCCAUCCUAUGCUUUCACCUUUGGCUCUUUUACGCUCUGAUACCAUCUUAUCUGUCACGCUCCGAGCCCGAUCCCUUUUGGUCGGUUCGAGAGCGUCAAACAGACACCGAACGGACAGAGCUUCCCCCGUCCGCCCAAGGCUCAACACAAGUAUCAAUAGAGUGCAAUUUGCAUAAGCGGAAGCAUACACAAUGGCUUGCACGAGGGCAAGCAAUAGCCAAGGUGAAAGAAUUAACCAUUCAGUAUACAAGUAAUAUGACUAAAUUUAAAUCACAUACAUGUAUCCAACUAUAAUCAAGUUCUGUCACAUUCUUGCAUCAUUUCUUUAUACAUCUCAUUUCUCCCAAAAUAUAACUUUUGACAUUUAAGGUAAAUAUCCUUCACAUCAUUCAUUAAAGCAAGUUCAUAAUACUAAAAUCAUCAAAUACAAAAGAUGAUAGUAAAGGAUAUGCAACGACAAAAUGGAAUCCAUCUCGGGCGGUCUCUACCUAGGGCGCGAUGCCCUUACCGCGAUCAUCUGCCAGCUCGCUCGGUCCCGGCUCUGUGGAAAUAGUGGGGUGAGAACUACAACAAAGUUCCCAGUGGGUUCGGCAACCAACCACGCCGACUAUCCCACUAGGUCUAAUCAGGCAUAAUAGAAGAAAUGAUAGAUAAUAACCAACUAACAAAUGCAGCUAAUAUGCCUGAACAAUAAAUAAAACUAUGCUCGAUAGAAUGCUCAUGAUGAAUGCAAGAUUAACUUUUCAUUACCCAAUCUCAUGGCUAGCCCGUAGGUUUCGCCCUCACAAACUCACCAACCCAAAUCCCUAUUGUCGGGGAGAUAACCGCUACAACCCGACGGGACCGCCCUCUGGGGAGAUAACCGCUACGACCCAGUGAUGACAACUCCGGAGCACAUCGCCCGAGGGGGAGCUACCGCCCUCGAGCAAGGACUAUUAGGUGAGUACGAUCAAUCCUUAACUUUAAGGAUUUUAAGUUCAAUCCAUUCCUUGACUUCAAGGAGAACCAUGUACAUAUGACCCUUAAUUCUAAGGUGUUUAUGUCAUAAUGUCACUACUUGUUCUUGUUCUUUGUCAAUGAUGCCACACUUGUUUUCUAAGUCCUCUAGACUCAUCAAUGUCACUUGCUAAAUCUAUGUCAACAUGUCACAUUUGUUUACUAACCCUUCUAGGUUCUUGUCCCUUGUCAUGCAUAUAUAGGGUUACCAAUUCUCAUUCAUUUACUACUAUUUCUCAAGCAUUAGAACUCAUAUCAUGCAAAGAAAAUUUACAAUUAACCCUACUAUGCAACAUGCUCAAUAUAAAUACAUAUGCUCAAAUAUGACGCUUUAGACAUAAAGGGAUUUCCGAUGUCCUUGGAAUGCACCACCCACCUUAGAUGGUCACAAGGAUGCUACGGUGAAUUUCUUGGAAUUUUUGAAGCCCUAGUCCGCGUGCUGCGGCUAUCUGUACGGAAAAUGACGUUUUUGUUAAUAACUUUGCGUACACUCGUCGGAUUGUCGAACCGAGCGUUCCAACGCGUUUAAAAUACCCUCAAUUAGGUUUCUACAUGAUCAAAAUAGAUCAAAACCCAACUUGGGCAAAACCCCUCUUUGGGAUGCCCUAACAUGUUAUUUUUGCAUUUCUCCGAGAUUGAUCUCAUUCCUAAGCAAAAGAUAGCUUAGAUUCACAUGGGAAGCUCUCUAAUAAGGUUUCUAAGCUUUUAGAACCAUCCCUAGGGCAUCUACUUCGAGCCCUAGAGAUCCACCAUGAGAGGGGUCCAAGACAACCAUGGAUUUCAUGGUUUCAAGGUCCCUAGAGGGUUUCCUCACUUGUAGAGAGAUCAAAACCCAAAAAUCUAAGGUCUAAACCCAAACCCUAAACUCAUUUUUGCAUAAGGACUCACCUUUGCCCAAGCUCCACCCAAGCCUUCUUGUUGGAGAGCUUCUAGAGCCACCCAAGCCUCCAAAUCCACCUUCUCCAAGCUUUUCUCCUUCUUCUCCAAGCCCUAGCCCAAGCUUUUAGAGAGGGAAAGAGAGGAAAUGAGAGGGAGAGGAGAGGAGAUGGGUUUUGCUGUGAAAAUGGGAGAGGAAUAGGCCAAAUAACAUGUUGUGACAUUUGCAAUUAGGCCCCUCAACUUAAUUCUGUAGCAGACUUCACCCCUGCUGCCAGAGCCCCUGUGUACCGGUACACGGAUUUGUGUACCAAUACGGAUUUGUGUACGGGUCUGCGCAGAAGCCGAAACCCGAGAGCAGACCCUCUCGGUUGCGCAGUUUGUGUACCGGUACACGGGUCCCGUACCGGUACACCUUCGCGCAGACUCAAACCCGAGAGCAACUAGUGCUCGGGUUGCUUGCUGUACCGGUACAGCCAUCAUGGCGUACCGGUACACAAUGCUCCAGAUUUCAGGUUUGGCUCCGAUUCGACUCUACUCCGCGCCGAUCGAUGCCAAACACAUACUAAUACCUCUUUAACUCAUUUUUGCCCUUCCAACGUGUUGGAAUGCAAAAUGGAACUCACCAAUACAUUUCUCUCGACACUUUAACCAAUUUGAUUAAGGUUCGAUUAUCGUUUUCGGGUUUCAAUACGUUACAAAGCAUCACGAGUAAAGCAUACAAGUGAAAGAAAGAGAGAUACUUAACUAUUCUAUUACAUCCAUUCAACUUAAUACAUUUAAGUACAACCUGCAUUCUUCCAAACCUGUACAAUAUAUAUACAAUCCUCUCAAAACCUCACCCUAUACAUCAAUCUACUCUCAAAAUAGGUACAGGGCAACUCUAGUGCAAAUAGGAAAGCAAACCUCUACUAACACCCCUAGGGCGCAACGCCCUUGCCGCGAUCCUCACAGGGGGCGCUCGAGCUCGAACCUGCAACAUGGUGGAGUGAGAACUACGAAUAGUUCCCAGUGGGUUCGGCCGCCGACUCCGCUGAUCUCCCCACUAGGUCUAAGCAGGCACAGAUAGAUAUGCAGAUAGAUAGGUAUAUGGAAUUGAAAGCUCUAGCAAUAAUAAGCAGCUAUGAACUAAGAUCUAUGUAAUACACUGAACAUUUGCGAAUUGCGAAGUUCGAGUGUGAGGAAGGAUGUGUGGAUCUAUAUUACAUGUUCUAAAUGACUUGGAUAAGUUUUUGAAUAAUUUAGAGGGUGAUUGGAGGGUUAAAAGCGAGAAAGUGCAUUGAACGGACGAAAUCAGCAUUUUUUUUUUGCUUGCUGUACCGGUACAGCCAUCACCUUGUACCGGUACAGACUGGCAAAAAUGUGGCAGCAAGGGUCUUUUGGUCAUUUCACCUCUUGUUCUUAUCUAUUUCAGUCCAGCACGACCAGGGAUGCUUGUUGGAGCGUGCUAGAGCUCAGAGGAGCUGCUCUACACCUUUCUCUCUCUCUCUCUCUCUAGGAUUUUUCUCUCUCUACAAAGGAGUCGCCGUUUUGCGCCGAUUUCGCGUCCCGCUCGACGCUUGCUGGUUGGGUGGACUUGGGGCCAGCUUUUAAAAGGUAAAGUGAAGUGUUUUUAGCAGUGUUAUUCAUGUUUAUGGCUAGGAGUUGCUGAAAGAAUGCUUUAGAGAGAGAAUUAACUUGAUUUCUCUCUAAUUCAUGGUUUAGUGUCGAAUUUUGAGCCGUUUUGGGGCUGUUACUCCUAGCUGAUUGGAGAGGGAUUACAGCAGCUAAAGAGGAGUUCCUCAGCUGUGAUUUAGCCAUCUUAGACCAGGGAUAAACUACUCCAAGGCUGGACCAAGGUAAUUGAGGGUGUAUGAAGCUAUUUCGCAUUUAUACGAAGUUUAUUUGAAUAACUUAAUGCAGUUUGGAUUGUGCUCUUCGCAGCAGGUUUGCGGAUUAAUUUAAGCUUAAUUGGUAACCUUGGAGAUUGGUUAGAAGGUGUUCUAGCCUGAGGUAAGCAGGAAUUUUAGUUAGAAAACUAAAAUCGUAAGAUUCCGACUAUAGUUAUUAAUAUUUGACGACUUUGAUGUCGUUUUGGAAAUUGUUCGCAGCGGGCUUGCGACGGACUUUCGAAGUAUCUCCGGCUGAUGCGUGAAGGCUUUUAGAAGCUUAACUUGAGGUAUUAACUGAGCCAAAAUAGGAAUUUAAGCUGUUGCUUUGUACUAAGUACAAUGUGUGCUGAAAUUGGAUAUUUUGGUCGUAGUUUGAUGCGCCUUCCGUGUUUCGUUUUCAGCAGAGUUCGGGCUCCGUUGAGCAGCGUUUCGGGACUUCUUUUGGCUGGAUUGAGCUUGGUGAUAGGUGGGUCGGACCUUCCCGAAAUGGGUGAAUUCCCUCUAUGUCUCCUUUGACAUUUGAGUUGAAGUUAUUUCAUAUUUAUGUGAAUAUAUGUAUAGUUUAAGGCAUUGAGACAUGCACUGAUAUGUAGAUCAUAUCGGAAAUGAUAGCAUCUUUAAAUGGUAAUGAAAGAUUCAUGACUUGUCCAUUCUACAUGGUUACCUGUUAAGUACUAUGGAUUCAUGAUACUAGUAGCUUGCAUAUGCAAUUUGGCUUGAUGUUAUCCACGAGGAUAGGAUGGUAAAUUCGUGAAUGGACCAAUUAGUUCUGUUGAACAACAAAGAGACUGAUAUACUUAGGAUUGAGCUAUGCAAUGUUAUACAACAAGUGUAAUGGCUAAACUCUGAAAGAUCAGGUAAAGGCUUGUGUUUGUAUAUGCAUUCCUAAUUGUAGAAUGAAUGGCAUGGAGAUCAUGUGAAAAGUAUUUUAUCGUUUAUAUUCCUUGCUNAAUGCCAAAAUCAUCGGCACUACCGCUCUCAACUUUCCCGCGCACCUUUUGGAGAUAUUCAUCUGAAGUUUGCAACUCUUUAAUCUUCUCCAAUAGCGUCGGUUGAACAACGAACGCUGCAAGUGUCGCCGGUACUCCCGGUGCUACCACCUCCAAUCCAAGCCGUUGCAUCUCCUUUUGUAGUAAUGAUUGGGGUGUAAUUGCCGAAAUCAGAUUUUCCCCCGAUUUUCUACUAAGUGCAUCGGCCACGACAUUCGCCUUCCCGGGGUGGUAUAGAAUAGUAACACCAUAGUCUUUUAACAAUUCUAACCACCGCCGUUGUCGCAUAUUUAACUCCUUUUGGGUGAACAGGUACUUAAGACUUUUGUGAUCUGUAUAGAUCUCAUAGUGUUCCCCGUAUAAGUAAUGCCUCCAUAGCUUUAGCGCAAAAAUAACCGCCACGAGCUCAAGGUCAUGAAUCGGGUAGUUCUUCUCAUAAGUCUUCAAUUGGCGUGAAGCAUAAGCUAGAACCCGCCCAUUUUGCAUCAAGACACACCCGAGUCCCACGUAGGAAGCAUCACUAUAUACCACAAAGGUCUCCCCCGGCGUCGGUAGAGCAAGCACCGGGGUCGUAGUCAAUCUUUCCUUUAACUCCUCGAAGCUCCGCUCGCAUUCGGGGCUCCAAACAUACUUCACCCCUUUGUAUGUGAGGCGCGUUAGUGGAGUAGUUAUUUUAGCAAACCCCUCCACGAACCGCCGGUAGUAGCCCGCUAGCCCAAGGAAACUGCAGACCUCCGAUACACUCGUCGGGCGAGGCCAAUCCUUAAUUGCCUCCACUUUCCUCAGAUCCACCGAGAUACCAUCGCCCGAAAUUACAUGACCAAGGAAAGUAACCUCCGAUAGCCAAAAGUCGCAUUUCUUCAACUUGGCAUAUAACUUCUCUUUUCGGAGUAUCUCCAACACGGUCCUCAAGUGUCCUCGUGUUCUUCCUCGGUCCGAGAAUAUACCAAUACGUCGUCAAUGAAUACCACGACGCACCGGUCCAACAGCGGACGGAAGACUCUAUUCAUUAAGCCAUGAACGCCGCCGGGGCGUUAGUGAGUCCAAACGGCAUCACCGUGAACUCAUAAUGGCCAUACCGCGUACGGUACGCCGUCUUGUGCACAUCCUCGGGCCGUAUCUUCAACUGAUGAUACCCCGAUUGAAGAUCAAUCUUUGAAUAUACCCUUGACCCCUGCAACUGGUCAAAUAAGUCAUCAAUCCUCAGUAGCGGGUACUUAUUCUUCACAGUGACUUUGUUCAACUCGCGGUAAUCCACGCAGAGUCGAAGGGUGCCGUCCUUCUUCUUAACGAAUAGCACCGGAGCUCCCCAGGGUGACACACUCGGCCUCACAAAGCCUUUGUCGAGCAAGUCUUGCAAUUGCGCCUUAAGCUCCUUUAGCUCCGCCGGUGCCAUUCUAUACGGAGCCUUCGAGAUUGGCGCCGCCCCCGGGACCAAGUCAAUAACGAACUCGAUCUCCCGGUCCGGUGGCAAUCCCGGUAACUCCGCCGGAAAUACAUCCGGAAAUUCGCACACCACCCGAAUGCCUCCCAAAUCCGGGUGCUCUUUUUGGGCUUCCACCAUUGUCGCCAAGUAGGCCACACAACCACCUUUUAUCAUUUUCCUCGCCCGUGCCGCCGACACGGUCGCCGCGAAAAGCGAGCUUUUAGCUGCCUGAUACACUAGCUCCUCUCGAUCAGGCUCGCGAAACGUGAUCACCUUACUUUCGCAAUCUAUCACGGCAUAAUACUUGGAGAGCCAGUUGGUCCCCAAGAUCACGUCGAAACCCCACAUUCGGUUUAGCACCAACAGAUCAAUCGGCAUGACCCAGUCACCUAUCUGCACUGGGCACGCUACACAUUCUUCGUGAACAUGAAAAGUAUGCUUGACCGAAUUUACCGUCCAAUAGUCAUAAUGGUGCACGAUCUUAAUGCCAUGAGUCCUAGCGAAUGAUGCAUCUAUGAAUGAAUGCGAUGCACCUGUGUCGAAUAAAGCUCUAGCUCUGGUGCCUCUGAUCGAAAUAAUACCUGCCACGAUGUCGUCGGGAACAGGAAUCGGCUCCUCCUGCACCUGAGUGGCAAAAACCCGCCCACUCGGUGCCCUCGAUGCCUCCGGCUGACGCGAUGAAGACGAACGUCCAGCCGACAUAGCCGGUGGUAACCCCGCCUGCUGUCUCGGGGUAUAAGGAACUGAUGCCGAGGUAGGCGCAGAUGAACCCCAGCUCGGGCACUCCCGUGACAUGUGCCCGGGCUGGCCGCACCUGAAGCACUUUCCCUCGCGCUGCGGGCAUACCGGCGGUCGAUGAUCGCCGCCGCAAAUAACACAACGGAACGGCCUGCCACUCCUCGACUGCUGUCGGGGAUACCGAGGGGGUUUCUUUGCAUUUGACCGGCCCCCGGUACCGCCCGCCGCCCGCUUCUUCCCCUUGUCCCUUGACUCCGCCAUUGCCUCGCGCUCCUCUCGCACGUGGGCGCUGCCGUGCUCCGCCCACAGGGCUCGAUCAAAGACCUCCGCAAAGGUCGUCAACUUGAGGAUUUGCACCCUCUUGUAGAUCCUCGGCUGGAGUCCUCGUAAGAACCAGUCAGCACGGUCCCGGUCGUCAAGAACAACCUCCGGGACGCAGUCGAUAAGGUGGGAGAACUCCUGCUCGUAAUCCACCAUGGAGCGGUCCCCCUGUCGCAACUUGCGGAAUUUCUCUUGCAACUUCCGCUUCACCGUAUCGGGGUAGUUGGCAAACACCGCCCUCCGGAACUCCUCCCACAUCAUAGGCGAAAGAUCGAACGAUCGAUCCCGCCUAACACGCUUCCACCACACCUUCACCGCCUUCUCGAGGCAAUGUGUGGCGAGGUACACCUUAUCCCUCUCCAAGGUGUUAAGAUUCUCAAAGAGUGUCUCCAUGGAGUCGAUCCAUGACUCCACGAUCGCCGGCUCCACCACUCCACCUUCGAAGGUAGGUGGGUUAAACUUCUGAAACUGAAUGAGAGCUGCCAACGUGCGCUCCCGCUCCGCCUCCUCCGCCGCACUAUCGGGAUUUGAAGUCCCCGAUCCCGCCGGCACCAUCGUAACUGGCACGGCCGCUGCGGCCACACCCUCAGCGGCACUCGGCACCACAGCAGGAGGCGCAGGGUGCACGGCCUCCCCGGGUGUCGCCGCCGCCGAUGCCCGUUGCCGCUCCAAAGCCUCCUGAAGCCUCUAGAUCUGCUCCCCUUGGCACUGAACGGACUCCGCCUGCUGCCGCACUACGCCAAUAAGUGCGGCCAUCUGCUCCCGAAGCUCCCCGUCGCCACCUGCUCCGGGUUGCACGGGAGCCGCAUUUGGCUCCUCGGCCAUAGACCUCGUCCGUGGUCGACCACGAGGCAACUUAGGUCGUCCACGAGGCGGCAU
rnacentral:lncRNA from 1 species